GAGGAAUGAAAGAGGAAAGUUGCUUUGUCAGACUUCAUUUUGGUUUGCCGCUUAGAUUUUGGUUUCCCCGUUUUCACUUUCUUUGCCCCGUUAUUUUUUCCUCCAGGUGGCACCUUGUCCCCACCCAACUUCAACAUAUUUACAUAGAUUGUCAUCCUAUUUGCUUCCUUCAUCAAUAGCGCCUAUGCGCUGAUAGUUAUCUAUCUCUGAUUAUUGUUGCUUAGGAAAAUAAAUGGGCAGGUAAGUUGAUUUAUUUUCAUUUUUGUUGUUGCUUUGAUUCAAUUCGAUUUUGAAACAAGUUUUUGCGAAUUUGAUUGUGGAUAUUAGGGUUUUCCCAAUUAUUUGUUUCAGUAUUUGUGAUUAUAGUUCAUAUUUUAGGGAUUUUGCAAUUAAAUGUUUGCAUAUUUGAAAUUUAUAUUGUUGAAAUUAAGGUUCAUUUUUGAUAAUUUUUGUUCGAUUGAUUUUUUUUGUUCGCUUAUUUUAAUCAAAUAUAUGAUUCCAUAUUGUUUUGGUAGUAAUUUUAUGUUCUAUUGUUAUUUGGUUGUAAUAAUUAUAAUUCGUUUGAUAUAGUUGAUACAUUUUAAUUGCUAAAUUUGCAGCAUUCUGGUUUGAUUUUCUUUUCUGAAGUAAUUUGAUAUUGGUUCUUGAUUGUGGCUUUCAGAUCUAGAUUAAUUUAACUUUAUACUAUUCUCAUAGAUUAAUUUUGAUAUUUACAUUUUAGAUUUAUUAACUUACUUUUGCGUUUAUAUUAUGAACAUGUGAUGAUGUGAACUCAUUCUCAUCUUCUCAUUUGGGAACUAUAUACAAUGGUUUCUCUUUUAUGUUACAGAUGUUGUGUAUGUCAUUGCUUGUUAUAGACUUUUUUGUCAUAUGGCCUGGAUAAUGACAUGGUUAUUUGUCAUAUGGAUGACAUGGUUAUACCUUAGAUCUAAUGUGAUUUACUUUUAAAUCAUUUUUAUUUACAUAUGAGGUAUUUUGAUCAACUUUUGAGUGUUUUGUAUAUACUUUUAGAGCGCAUACCAUGCUGAGAUUCAGGCUUAAAGAAAUGCUCACGCCUCUACUGCUGUGAGCAAUUUCCAGGCAUGGGAGUUCUAUGAGCUACAAAGCUACUCCCAAAAAUUAAGCUUUUCGGAUGGAGAGCGUUGCACAAUGAUGUAGCUGUUCUUGGUAAUCUAAUCAGGAGGGGUGUGAGUGUGGAUCAGAUGUGCCCAGUCUGUGGGGGCGGUGAACCUAAAAUGCUGAUGCAUUCGUUGUGAGUUGUACUGCUGCUAAUUUAAGCAUUUUGAGCAAUUUGAGCUUUCUAUGUGUGGAAUUUGUUUCUUCUUUUGAUUUCCUAAUUUUAAAUUUAUUGGAAAUCCUUCAGAAAAUCAGUAUAGACUUGCUGUUGUGUCUUUGUGAGCUUUCUGUCAUUAUUUUCUUUACAUGGCAAACUCAGUCCUUAUGCAGGAUUUCUAACAGGAACUUUUUUGAUAGAGAUGAGGGGUACCGAUAUCUGACAUUUUCUAUGGAGUAUUACCUUCAUGUGGGGAUGCAGUUUAUAAAACUAUUCAUCUGCCCUUACAGAAAACUGUUGCACUGCUGAUUAACUGUGGCAAGUUCAUGAUUCGCACAGAAUAAUUUUCAAUGAUUUCAGUUUUAUGCAGGUCUUUGGUCUUAUGAGUUGCAUUUCUAUAUUUUACUUCUUUUUAGGUGAGGUGAAAUCUUAUUAUUUUCAGCAUAUAUCUAACAGUCGCUUGUUUGCAGAAUUUUAUUUCUAGCAGGGAAAAUCAUGUCACAAGAGAUUGGAUUGCUGAGGAGACUCUCAUCAUGUAAAUUAUUCUUAGGUUGGAGGUCGUAUCUUAAUGCGAGAGCUUCAGCAAUUGCAGAAGAAGUGUAGUAUGAUUGUAUGAGCAUACUUUUCCAGCUGCUACAACCUUAUCCAACUCAUCCAUGGUCACUGUCCCAAGCCUAAUAGCCCGCCCCACUCAAACAUAUGCAUCCAUAUCCACCUUCUUGUAAAUGAUCGGGAAGCUGCUUUGAGCAAGAGUACAACCUGUGCAGGAGGAGCAGCAGAAGCAUGAGUAGAAGUAAUAUUAUUUAUUUACUUUAAUGAUGUUUUAAUUUACUUUUUAGCCUUUUUUAUUUAUUUUUGAGCUGAGAUAUUUUGAGUUCAA